GGCGUUGCCCGCGUAUGUAAGAAACUUUCUCAAUAAGCAAUGCCCUUUACCUUUUUACCCUUUUUGUACUCAUUGAACCGUUAUUUUGUAAUAUGAAGCCUAAAAGGCAUUAAGGCAUUCAAGGCACCGUUCCCUUGCAUGCAUGAAGAAAAUCAAUGAAAGUCAAAG